UACGGAGGGUGCAAACGUUGCUCGGAAUCAUUGGGCGUAAAGCGCACGUAGGCGGCCUGUUAAGUCGGGUGUGAAAUCCCUCGGCUCAACCGAGGAAGUGCAUUCGAAACUAGCGGGCUUGAAUGUGGAAGAGGGUCGUGGAAUUCCCGGUGUAGAGGUGAAAUUCGUAGAUAUCGGGAGGAACACCAGUGGCGAAGGCGGCGACCUGGGCCAACAUUGACGCUGAGGUGCGAAAGCGUGGGGAG
rnacentral:rRNA from 1 species